rnacentral:tRNA from 1 species
AGCAGUGUGGUCUAGAGGUUAGAACACAGGCCUGGGAAUCAGAAGGGCCUGGGAAUCAGAAGGACCUGGGUUCGAAUCCCAACUCCGCCA